rnacentral:ncRNA from 1 species
AGCAGUUGCUAGGGGUGCCGAAAGUAUGGCUGAGAGGCGUAAGGAGCGCCAACCCUCUGAACUCGAUCCUGGGUAAUACCGGCGUGAGGAAGUGACGGAGACUGCGA